UACGUAGGGUGCAAGCGUUAAUCGGAAUUACUGGGCGUAAAGCGUGCGCAGGCGGUGAUGUAAGACAGAUGUGAAAUCCCCGGGCUCAACCUGGGAACUGCAUUUGUGACUGCAUCGCUGGAGUGCGGCAGAGGGGGAUGGAAUUCCGCGUGUAGCAGUGAAAUGCGUAGAUAUGCGGAGGAACACCGAUGGCGAAGGCAAUCCCCUGGGCCUGCACUGACGCUCAGUGCACGAAAGCGUGGGGAGCAAACAGG
rnacentral:rRNA from 1 species